ACGUAGGGGGCAAGCGUUGUCCGGAAUGAUUGGGCGUAAAGGGCGCGUAGGCGGCCUGGUAAGUCUGGAGUGAAAGUCCUGCUUUUAAUGUGGGAAUUGCUUUGGAUACUGUCGGGCUUGAGUGCAGGAGAGGUAAGUGGAAUUCCCGGUGUAGCGGUGAAAGGCGUAGAGAUCGGGAGGAACACCAGUGGCGAAGGCGACAUACUGGACAGAAACUGACGCUGAGGAGCGAAAGUGUGGGGAGAAAAAAG
rnacentral:rRNA from 1 species